UAAGAUGUAUUUCUUAAUUGUUUUACUGUCAGAUUCUAGAAAAUGGCGACCUGGUGAUCCGUACCUUAGCAUGGGAAGAUCUCGGUGGUUACACAUGUCUGGCCAAAAAUGUGCAUGGAACGGAUAAGACGUUCACUUUUGUCUAUCCAGCCGCUCCUGAAAAGAAGUAGUUGAAUCUGGCCACGAAAUUUCUAUUCCUGAAGUUUUCACAGUCACGUAGCUCCAUCUGUUCAGUUGUUUAUGCAGUGCUUUUAAAAUUAAACAGAAUAUUAAUCUUCUACGUUACCUCUAUUGGAUAGCUUUAUCUAUAAUUAUCUGCUCACAAUGAUAUUCAGAUUUGUCAUAUACAUGUCUUUUCAUUAACUUUCCGUAAAGUUAAAAAUGUAUAUUGUGUUAAUUUUAUAAAUAUGUUAAAUUAAUUUUCAUUUUAGACAUCAGGUCAUGUUCUGGAUUAUUUGUAUUAAUUUAUUUAUGACCCUAAUGAAAUAUUCUGAAGUAUGUAAAUACUAUCUAAAUCUUGUAGUCACGUGAAUUGAUGUGAAAUAAUGGCUGUGGAUUAAAUAAUUUUUCAUCUGCUACUUUA